GUGUAAGUUAUUAAGGGCACACGGUGGAUGCCUUGGCAUUAAGAGCCGAUGAAGGACGUGUGAAUCUGCGAUAAGCCUCGGGGAGCCGAUAACUGGGCGUUGAUCCGAGGAUUUCCGAAUGGGGAAACCUGGCUCAUCUUCAUGGUGAGUUACCGCCAGCUGAAUGUAUAGGCUGGUUGGGGGGAACGCGGGGAAGUGAAACAUCUCAGUACCCGCAGGAAGAGAAAAUAAAGUAAUGAUUCUGUGAGUAGUGGCGAGCGAAAGCGGAAGAGACUAAACCUGUGGUGUGUGAUAGCGGUUAGGCGUUGCAUCAUGGGGGUUGUGGGAGUCACAGUGGCAGUUCUAACUGGCUGCCGGCAUGAUGUUCAGGAUGGUAGGUGAACGACUUGGAAUGGUCGGCCGUAGAGGGUGAGAGUCCCGUAAUCGAAAUUGUUCUGUCCGUGGUGUGGCCACCCGAGUAGCACGGGGCUCGUGGAAUCUCGUGUGAAUCUGCCAGGACCACCUGGUAAGUCUAAAUACUUCUUAGUGACCGAUAGUGAAUCAGUACCGUGAGGGAAUGGUGAAAAGUACCCCGGGAGGGGAGUGAAAUAGUACCUGAAACCGUGUGCUUACAAGCCGUUGGAGCCUUUUGGGGUGACAGCGUGCCUUUUGAAGAAUGAGCCUGCGAGUUAGUGUUAUGUCGCGAGGUUAACCCGUGUGGGGUAUCCGUAGCGAAAGCGAGUCUGAAUAGGGCGUUUGAGUGGCAUGACCUAGACCCGAAGCGGAGUGAUCUAUCCAUGGCCAGGUUGAAGCGACGGUAAGACGUCGUGGAGGACCGAACCCACUUCAGUUGAAAAUGGAGGGGAUGAGCUGUGGAUAGGGGUGAAAGGCCAAUCAAACUCUGUGAUAGCUGGUUCUCCCCGAAAUGCAUUUAGGUGCAGCGUUACGUGUUUCUUGCCGGAGGUAGAGCUACUGGAUGGCCGAUGGGCCUUCACGGGUUACUGACGUCAGCUAAACUCCGAAUGCCGGUAAGUGAGAGCGUAGCAGUGAGACAGUGGGGGAUAAGCUUCAUUGUCGAGAGGGAAACAGCCCAGACCACCAACUAAGGCCCCUAAGCGUGUGCUAAGUGGGAAAGGAUGUGGAGUUGCUUAGACAACCAGGAGGUUGGCUUAGAAGCAGCCAUCCUUGAAAGAGUGCGUAACAGCUCACUGGUCAAGUGAUUCUGCGCCGAUAAUGUAGCGGGGCUCAAGUACACCGCCGAAGUUGUGGCAAUGAUCUUUUUGGAUUGUUGGGUAGGGGAGCGUCGUGUGGCCGGUGAAGCUGCGGUGUAAACCAGUGGUGGAGGCUAUGCGAGUGAGAAUGCAGGCAUGAGUAGCGAAAGAUGAGUGAGAAACUCAUCCGCCGGAUGAUCAAGGGUUCCAGGGUCAAGUUAAUCUGCCCUGGGUUAGUCGGGGCCUAAGGCGAGGCCGACAGGCGUAGUCGAUGGAUAACGGGUUGAUAUUCCCGUACCGGUGAAAAACCGCCCAUACUGAUAUUGUGAUGCUAACCAUGCGAAGCAUGAUGUGCAGGCUUUUGUUUGUGUGUUGUGUGGGUUGUGGGACCCGAUCUUUGGAGGUAAACGUGUUAACAGGUGUGACGCAGGAAGGUAGCCAAGCCACGCGAUGGUUGUCGUGGUCUAAGCGUGUAGGGUUGUCGGUUGUUAAAUGCGCCGGCUGUGUGCCUGAGACGUGAUGGGACCCUGUUUUUGGGGGAUUUGGUGAUCCUAUGCUGCCGAGAAAAGCAUCGGCGUGAGGUUUUAGCCGCCCGUACCCUAAACCGACACAGGUGAUCAGGUAGAGAAUACUAAGGCGAUCGAGAGAAUCAUGGUUAAGGAACUCGGCAAAAUGCCCCCGUAACUUCGGGAGAACAAUCCAAUAGGCAAUAAAAAGAGCCCGCUUCCGCGGGCUCUUUUGCUUUAACAGCUAAAGUUAGAAAGGGGGCAGACCCGCAUGGGUCUGCCCCCUUUUUUUGUACCC
rfam:Rothia mucilaginosa DY-18 DNA, complete genome.